rnacentral:lncRNA from 1 species
UAAUUUCACAUAUGAUCAAUUUGUGUUUAUAUACGUUAUGUUUAACGUUGAUCACGAUUUUUAAAACAGUGAAAAACAAGUAAAUUCUUUAGUAUGCAUUUCCAGUUUUAUUCAGACUUAACAUCUUCAGUGUUGUUGCUGUUUCAAAAAGGAGACUUUACACCCGAUGAAUAUUGGCAAACUAAAAUAUAUAUCAUUCGUGUUAUUUUGGGAUGUAUUUUCAACAUAGCAACACUGAUUGUCAUCUGCGUUCUCAACAGAACCAAUUUUGAUAAUACAAGUUCUGCCGUUGUAUUGUUUACUCUUCUGGUCAUUCACCUUGUAUGGAUGUAUACAACUACAUUUAGUGUCUGUGUAGCAUCUGGUUGGCGAACGUUUGGAUUUAUAAUAUAUCUAUCGAACGCUAACUAUAAGUUGUUAGAUGUGCUUUUUGAUCUAUAUAUUAUACUGUACAGUUUUGUUUUAGUGGACUGGAAAAUGACCGACAUUACUAUUACAGUUACUGUGAUAUUUUGUACAGACAUAGUAUACAACUUAGUUUUAUAUAUUUUAGCCAUUCGAAUUGUCUAUAAAGAUGAACAAGUACCGAUAAUUAGAAUCAUUGCUAGUUCAUUUAGUCCGUUAGCUUUGUAUAUAAUUAGUUUCUGCAUGUUUGUUGAAAGAAAAGAGUAUGACGAGAU